UACCACCCUGGAUGGGCCUGAGCUCUUCUCAUCUUGGAAGUUAAGCAGGGUCAGGCCUGGUUAGUACUUGGAUGGGAGAAAUGAGAUGCAGAAGGAAGCCUGGAG
rnacentral:rRNA from 1 species